rnacentral:lncRNA from 1 species
UAGGGAAAUAGAUAUUUCUGUAUUUAAACCUUUACAAGAGACAAACAUUAAUUUGCUUAAUAUAAAUUAACCCAAAAUACUAAAGUGGACACACGAGUAUUAAAGGUGUGGAAUCUGUGUUGAUCACUUUGUGGCUUCUUGCAGCUGGGGAAGUAGGUGAGUUUCCAGGGUAGAGAAUGAAUUAACUUUGAUUCGAUUCUCACUGAGCUGUUAUGGGGGAGGGCACAGUCCUGCCUUAAACUCAGGCACCUGGUCUGUUCUCAGCACCUCCCUGGUUCUCCUGGGGUUGCCCUGAUUUGGCUCAAAAUUCAGAAACUUUAUUCUUUUGACCAAGGCUUCACCCUGGACCCGAGUUUGUGAAGAGCCACACACACACACAUAUACUCCCGGUUGGAGUCCUAUCCCCCAGCCGCAGUCCUUUUCUGCUCUGGAUGUAGAGAGGGUGAUGUAUGAUAUGGUACAGGCCAGAGCUCUUCUCCCAGUGUGCCCAGUGUUUUAAGAAAAAUGUGCAAUUUAUGCUACUUCCAAAGUAGU